CUCCCUAUCGCGCCGAGCUCCAUCCAAUAGGCGGGGGCCACCGAACCACAUGGAUGGAGACGGGGGACCCACCGGUCCACCGUGAUCGGACUGGAGCCGCUCGCGGCUCCUAGGGGUGAAGCCGGCGUCGUCGCGCUCGAGGACAACGUCGGCCGGGUGGCCUCUCCAACCCGAACCCGACAGCUGACCUCGCAGGCGCGUGACGAGAGAGGAA
rnacentral:sRNA from 2 species